UGAGUGCUAGGUGUUGGGUCCUUUCCGGGAUUCAGUGCCGCAGCUAACGCAUUAAGCACUCCGCCUGGGGAGUACGACCGCAAGGUUGAAACUCAAAGGAAUUGACGGGGGCCCGCACAAGCGGUGGAGCAUGUGGUUUAAUUCGAAGCGACGCGAAGAACCUUACCAGGUCUUGACAUCCCGAUGCUAUUUCUAGAGAUAGGAAGUUACUUCGGUACAUCGGUGACAGGUGGUGCAUGGUUGUCGUCAGCUCGUGUCGUGAGAUGUUGGGUUAAGUCCCGCAACGAGCGCAACCCCUAUUGUUAGUUGCCAUCAUUCAGUUGGGCACUCUAGCGAGACUGCCGGUAAUAAACCGGAGGAAGGUGGGGAUGACGUCAAAUCAUCAUGCCCCUUAUGACCUGGGCUACACACGUGCUACAAUGGUUGGUACAACGAGUUGCGAGUCGGUGACGGCGAGCUAAUCUCUUAAAGCCAAUCUCAGUUCGGAUUGUAGGCUGCAACUCGCCUACAUGAAGUCGGAAUCGCUAGUAAUCGCGGAUCAGCACGCCGCGGUGAAUACGUUCCCGGGCCUUGUACACACCGCCCGUCACACCACGAGAGUUUGUAACACCCGAAGUCGGUGAGGUAACCUAAAGGGGCCAGCCGCCUAAGGUGGGAUAGAU
rnacentral:rRNA from 1 species